rnacentral:rRNA from 1 species
UACGGAGGGGGCUAGCGUUGUUCGGAAUUACUGGGCGUAAAGCGCGCGUAGGCGGAUCUGCAAGUCGGGGGUGAAAUCCCGAGGCUCAACCUCGGAACUGCCUUCGAUACUGCGGGUCUCGAGUCCGGGAGAGGUGAGUGGAAUUCCUAGUGUAGAGGUGAAAUUCGUAGAUAUUGGGAAGAACACCAGUGGCGAAGGCGGCUAACUGGUCCGGUACUGACGCUGAGGUGCGAAAGCGUGGGGAGCAAACAGG